UACGGAGGGUGCAAGCGUUAAUCGGAAUUAUUGGGCGUAAAGAGCUCGUAGGCGGCCUGUUGCGUCCGCUGUGAAAUCCCGGGGCUUAACCCCGGGCCUGCAGUGGAUACGGGCAGGCUGGAGGCAGGCAGGGGAGAACGGAAUUCCUGGUGUAGCGGUGAAAUGCGCAGAUAUCAGGAGGAACACCGAUGGCGAAGGCAGGUCUCUGGGCCACUACUGACGCUGAGAAGCGAAAGCAUGGGGAGCGAACAGG
rnacentral:rRNA from 1 species